GCCACAGAUAUGCUGACUGCCAACAUCGUUUCAGAGAAUUUGACAGUACAUCCUAACUUUAUAUGUCCGAACUUAGAAUCAAAUAGGCUAUCAUGUUUAUUUUGAUUGGCGAUUUUGUGCAUUUAUCAAAAUCCCAUCAGGUAGCCUGAUUUCAGAUGUCACAUAGGCUAAACAAUAUUUUUAGGGAUAUUUUUCUUCUUGUAAAUGUUUAAAAUCAAACUAUUAUAUUAAUCUGACUAUUCAAAAUAAUUGUAUUAUUGUGUGCAUACUCAGACCUUAGAAUUUGCCAAUGACAUCUGGGAUGGCAAAAUCGUUGCACAAGACAGCUAAAAUCAUUCAGGCAGUGCGGGCCUUAACCCACAAAGAGAUGACCUGGGAACACACUAGUGCUGAAUGAAUCAAAGGAGGGCUGAAUGAAUCAGAGGAGGGGCUGAAUGAAUCAGAGGAGGGGCUGAAUGAAUCAGAGGAAGGGCUGAAUGAAUCAGAUGAGGGGCUGAAUGAAUCAGAGGAGGGGCUGAAUGAAUCAGAGGAGGGGCUGAAUGAAUCAGAGGAAGGGCUGAAUGAAUCAGAGGAAGGGCUGAAUGAAUCAGAGGGAGGGCUGAAUGAAUCAGAGGGAGGGCUGAAUGGAUCAGAGGAGGGCUGAAUGAAUCAGAUGAGGGGCUGAAUGAAUCAGAUGAGGG
rnacentral:lncRNA from 13 species